rnacentral:rRNA from 1 species
ACUCCUACGGGAGGCAGCAGUGGGGAAUUUUGGACAAUGGGCGAAAGCCUGAUCCAGCAAUGCCGCGUGCAGGAUGAAGGCCUUCGGGUUGUAAACUGCUUUUGUACGGAACGAAAAAGCUCCUUCUAAUACAGGGGGCCCAUGACGGUACCGUAAGAAUAAGCACCGGCUAACUACGUGCCAGCAGCCGCGGUAAUACGUAGGGUGCGAGCGUUAAUCGGAAUUACUGGGCGUAAAGCGUGCGCAGGCGGUUAUGUAAGACAGAUGUGAAAUCCCCGGGCUCAACCUGGGAACUGCAUUUGUGACUGCAUGGCUAGAGUACGGUAGAGGGGGAUGGAAUUCCGCGUGUAGCAGUGAAAUGCGUAGAUAUGCGGAGGAACACCGAUGGCGAAGGCAAUCCCCUGGACCUGUACUGACGCUCAUGCACGAAAGCGUGGGGAGCAAACAGGAUUAGAUACCCGAGUAGUCCCAUA